rnacentral:rRNA from 1 species
CCUACGGGGGGCUGUAGUGGGGAAUAUUGGACAAUGGGGGGAACCCUGAUCCAGCCAUGCCGCGUGUGUGAAGAAGGCCCUCGGGUUGUAAAGCACUUUCAGUGAGGAAGAACGCCUGGUGGUUAAUACCCAUCAGGAAAGACAUCACUCACAGAAGAAGCACCGGCUAACUCCGUGCCAGCAGCCGCGGUAAUACGGAGGGUGCGAGCGUUAAUCGGAAUUAUUGGGCGUAAAGCGCGCGUAGGUGGCUUGAUAAGCCGGUUGUGAAAGCCCCGGGCUCAACCUGGGAACGGCAUCCGGAACUGUCAAGCUAGAGUGCAGGAGAGGAAGGUAGAAUUCCCGGUGUAGCGGUGAAAUGCGUAGAGAUCGGGAGGAAUACCAGUGGCGAAGGCGGCCUUCUGGACUGACACUGACACUGAGGUGCGAAAGCGUGGGUAGCAAACAGGAUUAGAUACCCGUGUAGUC